rnacentral:rRNA from 1 species
AGUGAACGCUGGCGGUAGGCCUAACACAUGCAAGUCGAACGGCAGCACAGUAAGAGCUUGCUCUUACGGGUGGCGAGUGGCGGACGGGUGAGGAAUACAUCGGAAUCUACUUUUUCGUGGGGGAUAACGUAGGGAAACUUACGCUAAUACCGCAUACGACCUACGGGUGAAAGCAGGGGAUCUUCGGACCUUGCGCGAUUGAAUGAGCCGAUGUCGGAUUAGCUAGUUGGCGGGGUAAAGGCCCACCAAGGCGACGAUCCGUAGCUGGUCUGAGAGGAUGAUCGGCCACACUGGAACUGAGACACGGUCCAGACUCCUACGGGAGGCAGCAGUGGGGAAUAUUGGACAAUGGGCGCAAGCCUGAUCCAGCCAUACCGCGUGGGUGAAGAAGGCCUUCGGGUUGUAAAGCCCUUUUGUUGGGAAAGAAAAGCAGCAGGUUAAUACCCCGCUGUUCUGUCGGUACCCAAAGAAUAAGCACCGGCUAACUUCGUG